AACAAUAAAACAGAUCUUGACGGCGACUCCCGCCGCCGUCGCUCCACUCCCUCCGCCGCCGCCGCUCGACUCCCGCCGCCGCAGCUCGAACUCCCUCCUCCGACGCCGCUCUCCAAGCCAGCGCAGAGCUCGACUUCCGCCACUGCGUCUUGAUUCCAGCCGCACGCAGUCUCCGGGGACUUCUCCGCCAAUAUCGAGCCACCGCCGCCAGAUCAUCGGUUGGGGAAGGGCUAAAGCGCGGUGAUGGAGGGCAUGAGCUGACGUCUGACGGCGGCGAGUCGAUGGUCCUGUUCGGCUUGAGAAACUAAGUAUCUUCCGUGCACGGUUAACCCAGUAUACAUAUAAGGAGGAUGCAGAAGCUGUAUGGUCCAGACUCCAGAGAGUUAUCACUGUCAUCUACUCCCUCCGUUCCAAAAUAGAUGACCCAACUUUGUAUUAACUUUACAAAGGUAAUACAAAGUUGGGUCAUCUAUUUUGGAACGGGGGGAGUAAUAUGUUUCUGCAGCUUGAUGAAAGGAGUUCCAUUGAAUGACAGUUCAGACUUGCAGUACUAUUAUGAACUGAAGCAAACGACAGUUCAACUGAAACUACAUUUACAUUCAUUCAGGUAUUUCAAAAUAAAAAUUACACAGCAUGUAAACCUGGUUGCAUUUUUAUUCAGCCGAAACCUAAA